GACGAACGCUGGCGGCGUGCUUAACACAUGCAAGUCGAACGGUAAGGCCCUUCGGGGUACACGAGUGGCGAACGGGUGAGUAACACGUGGGUGAUCUGCCCUGCACUUCGGGAUAAGCCUGGGAAACUGGGUCUAAUACCGGAUAGGACCACUGCCUGCAUGGGUGGUGGUGGAAAGCUUUUGCGGUGUGGGAUGGGCCCGCGGCCUAUCAGCUUGUUGGUGGGGUGAUGGCCUACCAAGGCGACGACGGGUAGCCGGCCUGAGAGGGUGACCGGCCACAGUGGGACUGAGAUACGGCCCAGACUCCUACGGGAGUCAGCAGUGGGGAAUAUUGCACAAUGGGCGCAAGCCUGAUGCAGCGACGCCGCGUGAGGGAUGACGGCCUUCGGGUUGUAAGCCUCUUUCAGCUAUGACGAAGCGCAAGUGACGGUAGUAGCAGAAGAAGGACCGGCCAACUACGUGCCAGCAGCCGCCGUAA
rnacentral:rRNA from 1 species